rnacentral:rRNA from 1 species
CUACGGGUUGCACCAGUUAGGAAUAUUCUACAAUGCGCGCAAGCGUGAUAGAUUGAGCCAGGGUGUUUUUCAAAUGAAAAGCUUUUGUGAAAUGUAAAAAGUUUCACGAAUAAGGACUGGGUAAGACUAGUGCCAGCCGCCGCGGUAAUACUAGCGGUCCAAGUCGCAGCCAUUUUUAUUGGGUCUAAAACAUCCGUAGCUUGCUUAAUAAGUUCCUUGUGAAAUUUUAUCUCCCAAAGAUAGAGCGUGCAAGAAAUACUGUUAAGCUAGAGACUGGAAGACGUAACGAGUACGUUCGGAGUAGCGGUAAAAUGUGUUAAUCCUGGACGGACUAACAAUAGCGAAGGCACGUUACGAGGACAGUUCUGACAGUAAGGGAUGAGGGCUAGGGGCGCAAAACGGAUUAGAUACCCCUGUAGUC